GACGAACGCUGGCGGCGUGCUUAACACAUGCAAGUCGAGCGGUAAGGCUCCUUCGGGAGUACACGAGCGGCGAACGGGUGAGUAACACGUGAGUAAUCUGCCCUUCACUUCGGGAUAACCACCGGAAACGGUGGCUAAUACCGAAUACGACCAGUCUUCGCAUGAGGUGCUGGUGGAAAGUCUUUUCGGUGAAGGAUGUGCUCGCGGCCUAUCAGCUUGUUGGUGGGGUAAUGGCCUACCAAGGCCUCGACGGGUAGCCGGCCUGAGAGGGUGACCGGCCACACUGGGACUGAGACACGGCCCAGACUCCUACGGGAGGCAGCAGUGGGGAAUAUUGGACAAUGGGCGAAAGCCUGAUCCAGCAACGCCGCGUGAGGGAUGACGGCCUUCGGGUUGUAAACCUCUUUCAGUACCGACGAAGCGCCCUGUCGGGUGGUGACGGUAGGUACAGAAGAAGGACCGGCCAACUACGUG
rnacentral:rRNA from 1 species